UCGUCAUCACCACGUCUACUUCAUCAUGAUGGGGUCGUGGAAGAGAGCGACAUCGAGAACGCCACGACGCAGCCCAUCGCCGAAGCCGUCGAGCCGGCGCCAUGAAGGACAGUGGAGCGGAGGUCAUCAUCACUCUGCGUCUACUUCGUCAAGCCGGAGCUGCGGAAGACGACGACAUGGAGCACACCACGACGCCGCCCACCGUCGAUGUCGUCAAGCCGGAGUUGCGGAAGACGAUGACAUGGAGCACGCCACGACGCCGCCCACCAUCGAUGUCGUCAAGCCGGAACUGCGGAAGACGACGACAUGGAGCACCCCACGACGCCGCCCACCGUCGAUGUCGU
rnacentral:lncRNA from 1 species